GGGGAAUGUUCAGAGCAGGGAGCCUGUAAAAUGGCUCCUUUGUUUACAACCAUCCAAAAGCAACUUGGUUGCCGGGCUGGUGCUGCUCAGCGGUUGAGUGUCAACUGAUGCACCAAGAGGU